GAAAGUAAGGCAGGAGAAUGCUAGCAAAGUUCACCAGAGUGAACACAAGCGCAUAAGAACACAGAAUCACAAAGUGCACACAAGAAUGGUCUGGCUUUCAAAUGUCACAAUGGAAAUACAAAUCCUGAUGAACUAGAUAUGCACAUUGCUUACCCAUGAACCUUACCACAGAAAUCAAUCAUUGCGCAUUGUCUUUUGUGUGAAGAGUCCUCUCCACUUCUCCCCAAAUACCCAAGUGUACAACUAAGGAUGUAUAUCAUGGCCAUGAUACUUUGAAAAAUACUGCAAUACACAUUUCCAACUCUUCGAGGUGUGUGUAUCUGUGUUUGAGUGAGGAGGGACAGGGUGCUGGUUUCAAUCUUCUUGCUAAAGGAACUUCCUUAAAAAUAAAUAUGCUGAAAAGUAAUGACAGGAAACUUCACCAAAUCAAAAAAGAGGAUGUCAGGAAGUACAGGAUGUGAGGUUGUUUUCAUUUCCUUCAGUGCUAUUCUUAUUAAUCAUAUAUAUUUAUAACUUUAAAAAGCUGAAAAAGUUC
ensembl:lncRNA